GCCUGGUAACUGCAAUGUCUCAGCUAGGUCCUGUGUGUUGCUGGCUGGAAAAGGGCAGUUGACAAACUCUGACCCGAUUCUCACUCUGUUGCCCAGGCUGGAGUCCAGUGGCAUGAUCUUGGCUCACUGUAACCUCUUCCUGCUGGGUGCAAGUGAUUCUGUUGCCUCAGCCUCCUGAGUAGCUUGGAUUACAGGAUAUUGAAAAACAAAGUUUAAUCUUUGAAGAUCGUUUUUAAGACCAAGAAUUUGAAGGACAUGCGAAUGAUCUGUGUGUGGAAGAAGUACUGGAAGACAUUCCUUUCAGAAGUCCCUCAUGAUAGGGAAUCCCAAGGCUGGAAAACAUCAUUCAAGUGGGCAAUCAAAUUAAAUUUGUUAUUAAAAGCCACCCUGAGUGAAUCCCAGCACUGCCCUACAUAAAAUAUAUCCUUCAUUAUAUUUCCUAUUUGAUGUCUGACCCCCCUCCUCCACUAACAUAUGGAAAUGUGUCAGGUACCAGCUAUUCAUCCAAUGACUGCUCCUCAGUUCCAAAUUCACCCUUCAUUGCCUGCUCUGCAAACAUAGAGAGAUGAGGUUUCACUGUGUUUCCAAGGCUGGUCUUAAACUCUUGGCCUCAUGGGAUCCUCCUGUCUUAGUCUCCCAGUGGGCUGGGAUUAAGGAUAUGAGGCACCUCACCUGACCUGCGAUGAGUUUUCGACAAUGUCAUUCCUUUUGUACAGAAGCACCUAAGCUGAAGAGUCCCUUGAGAACAAGUACUAUCCUGUGGUUUCAUAAACUUUCUUCCAUUUAUGGUUCUUGCCAAGUUAAAUUUAAAUUACAUCUUAUGAAGAUGGAUAAACCCAAGUUUUCCAGAGCUGGAAUAUAGAAAAUGGAUGUACCUAUAAGUCCUACUCACCCAUAGCCAAGGCAUGGAGACCUCAACACACCUGGGCCCUAGACAUCACCUUUUAUUGUGAGUAGCUCUGAGAUAACACUUCUGGUUGGUAAGUGCCCACUGGCCAUAGUUUAUGUA